GGUUAUGAGGCUGCCAGGAUUUCCGAUAACAUAGGUGUGUCUUCCGAACGAUACGUUAGCUGCAGGAGUUCAGCUUAGGCUUGAUGGCGAUGACUUACACUCUGAAUAAUUGUGGCCAGUGGGAACUACGUUUAUAAGAUCGCUACGGUUGCACGUUAUCUGAUUCGUAGAGCACUGCAGGACAUUUAGUAAUUAGAGUCAGAAGGGGGUAUUUGUAUUAUGGUUUAGCAAGUGGAUUAUUCUGGAUCGAUCCCAAGAAGUUACACUGUGACAGCGCUUUCGAGAAACGUUUUGUCUGAUCAAGUAAAUCAGUUCGUAGGUUGUAGGCGAUUCGUUCCAGUUCGAACUGCCGGCCCUAUUCGAUUCCACCUGGCGACUUUAUGCAUGUUAUUUUACCGACACUGAGCGCAGUUUUUGGGAAAACGAAAAUUUUUGGGUUCCGGGGAACCAACGGUUGAAAAGCUUAAACGGCAAGGAGUUUCGUAAGGGCCCCCCCAGGAGUGGAGCCGGCGGAGUUUAUCUCACUCAAAGUCGGGAAAUCUCACCCGGCCCGGUUUUUAGUUAGGACAAACAGAAUUAUGAGCUAUUGGAGCAUGAAGUGGGGGGGGGUGCAGGCCCAUUCUUAGCUUGCGAAAGGAUUUCGUUAGUGAAUUUCGAUAGCGAUCAAGACUAUAACCUAGUAUAUAGUAGUCCGAUCAUUAGUUGGUGCGUCCUUACCUGAGGGUCCAGGAGCGGUGAGAUUCACGAGAUUGAGCCAUACCAGGUCUGUGAUGCCCAUAGAUCUUGGUCCCUGCACGCAAGCGACACCGAAGGCAUAAUUGCCCGUUCAGCUAUGAAAGGAAAUCUAAUACCAUCGAAAGCUGAUAGGGCAGGGAUCGGGGCGAGAAACAUUGUCCGGGAACCAGGAAUUCACCGCAAGCUUAAGCAGAGUCCCCGCGCAAAGGGGUCCCUGACCCAAUACACACCGUCCGACAAAACCGCUCAUUCCAUGCGGUAGGAGCUCCUCGGCUCGGCCCCUCCGGAAUCGGCCCCGUCCCCCACGGAGCACCGAGAAGACGAUCAAACAUGACUAUCUAGAGGAAGUAAAAGUGGUAACAAGGUUUCCGGAAAGGCGAUUAGACGCACAUCUGGCGGCCUUUGAGUACGAGAUCCGAGCUCGGUACCCAGCUAUGACGUCAUCGCUUGAGUACGCUCGCGCAUCACAUACGACUGCCGG
rnacentral:rRNA from 1 species